UAAUUUAAGAGUUAGUUUAGAGGUUUUAGUGAUUAGAAAUUGAAAUGAAAAUAGUUUGAUAGUUAAGGUUUUUAGUUGUAGUAGUUUAGUAAAAGAAGGACUAGUUUAUAGUUUGGAAAUGGUUGAAGGAUUAGAGUUUUAGUACAAAGGCUGUAAGCUUAGCAUAGUUUUUGGCUU